UAGCAUAUCAAUAAGCGGAGGAAAAGAAACCAACAGGGAUUGCCCCAGUAACGGCGAGUGAAGCGGCAACAGCUCAAAUUUGAAAUCUGGCGCUUUAGGUGCCCGAGUUGUAAUUUGUAGAGGGAGUCUCGGGUUGAGAGUUGGUCCAAGUUCCUUGGAACAGGAUACCGAAGAGGGUGAGAGUCCCGUCUCCGGCCGACGUCAACGCCCGUGUGAGACCCCUUCGACGAGUCGAGUUGUUUGGGAAUGCAGCUCUAAAUGGGUGGUAAAUUCCAUCUAAAGCUAAAUACUGGCCAGAGACCGAUAGCGAACAAGUAGAGUGAUCGAAAGAUGAAAAGCACUUUGAAAAGAGAGUCAAACAGUACGUGAAAUUGUUGAAAGGGAAGCGUAUACGGCCAGACUUGGUCGCGAGGGUUCAGCCCGUCUUCUGGCGGGUGUACUCCCUCGCGGACAGGCCAGCAUCGGUUUCCGGGGUUGGAUAAAGGCGCUGGGAAUGUGGCUCCCCUCGGGGAGUGUUAUAGCCCGGCGUGCAAUGCGACCACUGGGGACCGAGGACCGCGCUUCGGCAAGGAUGCUGGCGUAAUGGCCUUAUACGGCCCGUCUUGAAACACGGACCAAGGAGUCUAACAUCUAUGCGAGUGUUUGGGUGUCAAGCCCGGGCGCGUAAUGAAAGUGAACGGAGGUGGGAGCUUCGGCGCACCAUCGACCGAUCCUGAUGUUUUCGGAAGGAUUUGAGUAAGAGCAUAGCUGUUGGGACCCGAAAGAUGGUGAACUAUGCGUGAAUAGGGUGAAGCCAGAGGAAACUCUGGUGGAGGCUCGCAGCGGUUCUGACGUGCAAAUCGAUCGUCAAAUUUGCGUAUAGGGGCGAAAGACUAAUCGAUACCAUCUAGUAGCUGGUUCCUGCCGAAGUUCCCCUCAG
rnacentral:rRNA from 1 species